AUUUAUGUAGUAAAUUAAACCGAAACAAAUCCCUAUCCGGUACGAAAUGAAGGAGCUAUCACUAUUUACUAUUUAGUAUUACUACUUGCUAGCCACCAAAAUAGAUGUAUCUAGUGAAGAAGCAAAACCAAACCGUCUCUCUCCGUUUGGUCUUCUUUAAUUUGUUAUAUAAAAAUGAGUACUCGUAGUAAUUUUGAUUUUUGAGGGGAUAGUCUCUUACAAGUCUCUAGUCUAUAGUGUAAUAAUACUAUAAUAGUAAUGGCAAAUAACAAGUGUGGACGUUUGGGUGACAAUCCAGAUAACGGAACACAUUAACUCCAAAAUCCACAUCACCAAACUAAAAUCAAAGCCCUCAGUGGCUCAGUUGUCACAUUAAAUCUCACUCUCCAAUUUGGCCAAUCCCCAAACUUUGUUUGCUCUGGGCCAGUUGAGACUUCGGGGAGGCUUUACCUUGGCUUUCUACAUGUUGUAUUGUAUCAUUGUAUGGUGUAUGGACCCUCCCUUUGUUUUAAACAAUUACAAAAAUAUCUGGUUUUGGAUAUUGAAUUGAGAAACCAACAGAAGACGAAAAUCAUCAUCAUUUAUUCAUUUGUACUACAUAAUACACUCAUCUCAUCAUAGAGUCAUAGAGUGAUAGAAGAUCAGUGAAGAGCAAAUGGGUGUGCACUUGGUGGUUGUUGCGGCAUUUCAUCUGUCAAGGGGCUCUAUGAGUUUGAGUAUCCCUCGAAUCGCCGCUAACUUGAUCUGGCCUUUUCUAGUUAAGCUUUGCUUAAGCCUCAAAAUUCCCACUCAAGAUUUGGUUUCUUCUUCUAGCUUCUUACUUUUCCAAAUUGCUCAGAUUUUUAAUCAUCAAAACAACACCAACAAUAAUUCUACUAACACUACUACUACUACGUCUACUAGUACUAGUACCACCCGAUUGGAUCGCGCUGUUCGAUUAGUACGGCAGAGACUUGCUCUUGCUAGAGAUUCGUCCUCGUCUUUAGCUCAUGAUGAUGAGGAAAGUCUCCGUAUCCUCUCCAUGCUUGCUCUUUAAUUUUAUGUCCCUCCAUUUCUUUUUUUUUUUCUUUUGUUCCUACCUCUUAAUUCAUGAUUUCUUUAUUAUUACCUACAUUUAUCACUGUUAUUGCUAUAUAUCAUAUAUAUGCUUCAUCUGUAAAUUUCUCGCUCUUACUUUUGCUCUUGCUCUUGCUCUUGCUCUUCUUCUGAUAGUAAGUUAGCUAGUCACACCACACACCAGCAUCAAUGCAACAUUAUUAUUGUUGCUUUUCAACCAAAACCAAAACCAAAACCAAAAUAUUUACUACCGGAAACUCGUGCUUUUCACAAAUUACUCCUAGAGAGCUUCUAUAUUAAUUAGGAGUAUAUUACAAUAUUAUUAAUGUUGAGCUACUUUUUUUUUUAUUCAAGUAAUAUUGUUCUAUCUCAGAAAUUUUGAUAAUGUUUCUCUUUUCAAUUAUUAUUUUUUCGUUACUACUGUUAUUAUAUGAGAUGCAUUAUCGACGAUGUACAUGGAGGAGUACGAGAUCAGCUUGUAUAAGGGGAAUCAAAUUAUAUAGAUCAUUGUUAUAUGUGUAUAAAAAGGAUUGUUCAAGUAUCUGUAUCUUUGAUAGGAUAGGAUAGGAGUUCAUAAAAUAAAAGAAACGGAUAGGAGUAUACUCGAUUAUUUAAUGUCGGAACAUCGGGUUUUCGACAAAAUUCUCUUUCCGAGUGUAAGUUCUAUGUAUUGGAUAAUGGAUAACAUUAUUGAUGAAUGAUGAUGCAUAUGAUUUGAUGCAACUAUGCAAGUAUUUUGUUUUUGUUGACAAAUAGUGUUGCGUGUAAUAGCCGUGUAUCAACUAUGAAGUUUCCCUAACUUUUACGCAUACAAUUCCAUUUUCA